rnacentral:rRNA from 1 species
UACGGGGGGGGCAAGCGUUGUUCGGAAUUACUGGGCGUAAAGGGCUCGUAGGCGGCCAACUAAGUCAGACGUGAAAUCCCCAGGCUCAACCUGGGAACUGCGUCUGAUACUGGAUGGCUUGAAUUCGGGAGAGGGAUGCAGAAUUCCAGGUGUAGCGGUGAAAUGCGUAGAUAUGACAUAGAACACCAAUUGCGAAGGCAGCUGGCUACACAAAUAUUGACACUGAGGCACGAAAGCGUGGGGAUCAAACAGG